AUUGAACGCUGGCGGCAGGCCUAACACAUGCAAGUCGAACGGUAGCAUAGAGAGCUUGCUCUCGGGUGACGAGUGGCGGACGGGUGAGUAACGUCUGGGAAACUGCCCGAUGGAGGGGGAUAACUACUGGAAACGGUAGCUAAUACCGCAUAACGUCGCAAGACCAAAGUGGGGGACCUUCGGGCCUCACACCAUCGGAUGUGCCCAGAUGGGAUUAGCUAGUAGGUGGGGUAAUGGCUCACCUAGGCGACGAUCCCUAGCUGGUCUGAGAGGAUGACCAGCCACACUGGAACUGGGACACGGUCCAGACUCCUACGGGAGGCAGCAGUGGGGAAUAUUGCACAAUGGGCGCAAGCCUGAUGCAGCCAUGCCGCGUGUAUGAAGAAGGCCUUCGGGUUGUAAAGUACUUUCAGCGGGGAGGAAGGCGGUGAAGUUAAUAGCUUCACCGAUUGACGUUACCCGCAGAAGAAGCACCGGCUAACUCCGUGCCAGCAGCCGCAGUAA
rnacentral:rRNA from 1 species